rnacentral:lncRNA from 1 species
CAGGAGCAGUGCGUUGAGUCAGGCUGUUUUUUAUGAACACGAUAAAUAUGACAUUAGACACGGCAGCACAAGAUGUGCCCAUACUAACAGGCACAUUAACCGUCCUGGCUUUCUUUUAAUCUAAACAGGAAUUCAUGUAGAAGCCCAGCGGUGUUCCUUAGGGGCCGUCCAAUCCUCUUGCUACUCGUCAGUUCGUGCCGGUGGGCUGCUGGAUGCUCCAAGAGUAAUAGAGUUUCACUGACAUUGAAGAAAUCUAGUGUUGCUCGAGUCAAAACUUUGCCCGUUGACACCGUUUUCGAAGCGCCCAUUUACAAAGAAUUCUCUAUGGUGCUUCUUCCACAUCACAGCCCCGCUAGAUUAACCCUUUCCACGAGGAUGGUACAGACCAGACUUUAACUGUUGGGCCGCUGCAACGGCACCGGACUUUGUAGGAUCUCUUGGAAGAGCAGAAGCUCUAACAAAAGCCAGCGAAUGCGCUGGCUGAUUUGAAAGAGUCAUUCCGCAUGCGGUUUCUCGACUUGCAGGUCCCAGCGACGGCGGGCGUGGCCGACGGAAUGGAAGGUGACAGGACCGAGAACCAGGAGUGUCCACCUCUGAGGAUGAGCGCCUCAUCGCGGUAAAUUGCUGUCGGAAGAAGCGAGUUUUUUUCCCUUCGUCCUCUGCUUCCUCGGCCAACUGUUCUUGCCUCUCCAGCUCUUCCAUAACAGCCCGAAGACCUUUGGCGCGAACCGCGUCGGUCACCAUUCCACUCUUCAACGAUGGAAUUCCCUGUCCUUUCGUCACCUCGGAUUGCCGACAAAAAGCGCUUCCAACACUUUUGUGAUAAACCACCCGGCCCCCGCCUGAAGCGCCGGUUCCAGCGCUUCUACAAUACUCACUGCUCUUUCCUCGCAGAGACGCCAUCAGUCCUCUCGACAUGACGGAGGUGCCUGUAUACCACGAGGACCCCGUCCGGAGGGUUGUGGCCGCUGUGAAGCUUUUCUCAGAUCCAUACCACCGUGAAUCGCCACCAGUCUCUUCGCCUGAAGAGUCAUCUUUCUCGAAUUCCAAAGUUCCACGCGCCAGAACCCCCCCAUCGUCUUCACCAGCCACAGCUGCCAUGCCACCGCCAGCGAAACUCCGGGGAGCCCGACGGGAAGCAGAGGAAACGCGGGUGCAUCCUCGCGAAUUCAGAGAUGCCAGAACGGAAGCCGAUGGCGCUGAGGUUAAGUGGCCCUUCCCGGGAAGGCCGCCUCCGUUGGUUUUCCCUUCCUUGCUUUCCUCACAUAAGUCGCAACAUCGCCAGGCAUCAAGGCGGGCGCCUCUAUUGGAUUCAUCUGAACACAGGUUCGUUUUCACGUCUUCCGCGUUUUGGCUGUUUCCAAGAUUCACUUCACUGACGCCGGCACCGCGGUCAGAGCAGCUAGGAGCCCCUUCCCUAGCACACGCCCACAGAGAGUUUCCUUCUGAGAGGUUCCGAUUUCCUGGAGAGACAAAUGUAGUGUCGGCGUUACCACUGUGAACGCUCAGUUUCUCUUCCGUUUUCGCUCGAUUGAAACUGCGGCAGGACGUUGCUUCUGACUCCUCUGCUGCGUCUCUGUGUCUCUUCUUUGAAGGACCUUUGCUGCUUUCUCGUCUGCCUGACGGUUUCGCGAAACCACACCGACGCACCACGGUCUCGCCGAAAAACUUCAGAAUGCACGCGCGCCGGCAACCCGUUUCUUCGCAGUACUUCCGAACGUCUUUCAGAGAUUGAAGGUCCUUCUGAUAGCGCCUCUCCAUGUGUUCCAGCCUCGCCUUCUGAUCUUCGACGAAGUCCGGAUCUUCUUCUUCCUCGCCUUCCUGUUGAUUUCCUGCGCCUUUCUUUGUCCGAGCAUUCGGCUUCCGCCCUUUGCUAGAGUAUAGCUUCAGCUGAGAGAAGGUGUAAUCCAUGAUGUACCGAAGGCUAUCGAAAUUGCGUGGAGAGUAGUAAAGCAGCGCAUGCGCGGGACGCCCGUCUCGACCGCAACGUCCUGAUUCCUGGUAGUAGCCUGAUACGAGAAAAGAACUCAGUGAAAGCGAUGAUGCAAAUACGUUGAAAUGACCGAACGUGGAACACCACAACAGAUAUGGAAUCGCUGACCGAAUUACGAUUGCUCUUCGAAAUUCUUCGUUUGUCGUCAGUGGUUUCCGGGGUUCAUUCAUCGGGGUAAAUACCUAAGAUAUAUGCUAUCUGUCGGAUCGACACAGAACAGAAGACCUUGAAAUCUGACAGGUUCCACGACGAAUCUGCGCACAGAAGCUUUACGGGCCGACAGCUGGACCGUGGCACUGCAUGCGAGUAUUGGCAGGUCACAAAAAGGGCAAAAGGAAGAUCUCUGCGCCUUGACAAGGUCCUCCAACAUGAAAAAACGCCACUCCGCACGAGAGCGUAGACGCCCUUGUCUUCAUCGGUGGUAGAAAGAACUACGAUUCUGUGCGAGAGAGUAGGACGCUUUGUCCUCAUCGUCGCUAGACCACACGCCAAAGGUCACAUGGUUUGUGACGUGACGUGUAAACCCGUGAGACCGCGAGACUACCAGCGUUCCUUCGUUUGGAAAGAGUGACAGAUCUUCGUUGCCUGUUUCGCCCCUGCCUCGUCCUUUGCCUUCUCGGGCCUUAGUGGCUUUUCCUCUGUGUCCCUUCCGCCUCUUCCACAGCCACUUUCAUUGUCUGGUUCGACUCUCCCGCCUCUGUUGCGACGCUGGUACGUACAUCACGAGAUCACAUCGACUGGAACCGAUCCACUUUGAUACUGAAUGAAGUACUUCAGGGCGGUAACGAAGUCGAAGCAAGCCAGCCGAUGGCAAGAAGAGGCCGCGAAAACCCUUUGACUAUGAUGCCGCGAGUCCCGAUAAACGACAGUUAUGCUCAAACUGAUGCGUCAAGUGCGCACAAGCUCUCUGUGGUCCUCGUUGGUCCAAAGACG